rnacentral:rRNA from 1 species
UAAGGAAUAUUGGUCAAUGGACGCAAGUCUGAACCAGCCAUGCCGCGUGAAGGAUGAAGGUCCUCUGGAUUGUAAACUUCUUUUAUCUGGGACGAAAACGGGAUUUUUAUCUCAAUUGACGGUACCAGAGGAAUAAGCACCGGCUAACUCCGUGCCAGCAGCCGCGGUAAUACGGAGGGUGCAAGCGUUAUCCGGAUUCACUGGGUUUAAAGGGUGCGUAGGUGGGCAGAUAAGUCAGUGGUGAAAUCUUCCGGCUUAACCGGGAAACUGCCGUUGAUACUAUUUGUCUUGAAUAUUGCGGAGGUAAGCGGAAUAUGUCAUGUAGCGGUGAAAUGCUUAGAUAUGACAUAGAACACCAAUUGCGAAGGCAGCUUACUACACAAUCAUUGACACUGAGGCACGAAAGCGUGGGUAGCGA